rfam:TPA: Bos taurus chromosome 1, whole genome shotgun sequence.
UCUUUGGCAGUCCAGUAGUUAGGACUCUGCACCGUCACUGCUGAAGACCUGGGUUCAAUCCUUAGUCAGAGAA